GGAUUGCCUCAGUAACGGCGAGUGAAGCGGCAACGGCUCAAAUUUGAAAUCUGGCCCCUUCGGGGUUCGAGUUGUAAUUUGCAGAGGAUGCUUCGGCGUCGGUCCCGGGUCAAGUCCCCUGGAACGGGGCGCCCCAGAGGGUGAGAGCCCCGUACUCACCCGGGUGUCCUUCGCCGUGUGAAGCUCCUUCGACGAGUCGAGUUGUUUGGGAAUGCAGCUCUAAGCGGGAGGUAAAUUUCUUCUAAGGCUAAAUACCGGCCAGAGACCGAUAGCGCACAAGUAGAGUGAUCGAAAGAUGAAAAGCACUUUGGAAAGAGAGUUAAAAAGCACGUGAAAUUGUUGAAAGGGAAGCUCUUGCCGCCAGACUUGCCGCGGUUGUUCAGCCGGCCCCUNAGGGGGUGGUGCACUCUUCCGUCGGCGGGCCAGCGUCGGUUCGGGCGGCCGGAAAAAGGCCCCGGGAAUGUGGCACCCUCCGGGGUGUGUUAUAGCCCGGGGCGCCAUGCGGUCAGCCCGGUCCGAGGGACGCGUUCACGAGGACGCUGGCGUAAUGGCGGUAAGCGACCCGUCUUGAAACACGGACCAAGGAGUCUGACAUCUGUGCGAGUGUUUGGGCGUCAAACCCAUGCGCGUAAUGAAAGUGAACGGAGGUGGGNACCCCCCCGAGGGACGCACCAUCGACCGAUCCUGAUGUUCUCGGAUGGAUUUGAGUAAGAGCACGGCUGUCGGGACCCGAAAGAUGGUGAACUAUUCCCGGAUAGGGUGAAGCCAGAGGAAACUCUGGUGGAGGCUCGCAGCGGUUCUGACGUGCAAAUCGAUCGUCAAAUCUAGGAAUAGGGGCGAAAGACUAAUCGAACC
rnacentral:rRNA from 2 species